rnacentral:rRNA from 1 species
GAUUGAACGCUGGCGGAAUGCUUUACACAUGCAAGUCGAACGGCAGCACGGGAGCUUGCUCCUGGUGGCGAGUGGCGAACGGGUGAGUAAUGCGUCGGAACGUACCGAGUAAUGGGGGAUAACGCAGCGAAAGUUGUGCUAAUACCGCAUACGCCCUGAGGGGGAAAGUGGGGGAUCGCAAGACCUCACGUUAUUCGAGCGGCCGACGUCUGAUUAGCUAGUUGGUGGGGUAAAGGCCUACCAAGGCGACGAUCAGUAGCGGGUCUGAGAGGAUGAUCCGCCACACUGGGACUGAGACACGGCCCAGACUCCUACGGGAGGCAGCAGUGGGGAAUUUUGGACAAUGGGGGCAACCCUGAUCCAGCCAUUCCGCGUGAGUGAAGAAGGCCUUCGGGUUGUAAAGCUCUUUCAGCAGGAACGAAACGGUGCGCUCUAACAUAGCGUGCUAAUGACGGUACCUGCAGAAGAAGCACC